rnacentral:rRNA from 1 species
AGAGUUUGAUCCUGGCUCAGGAUGAACGCUGGCGGCGUGGAUAAGGCAUGCAAGUCGAAUGGGUUAGACCCAUGGCAGACGAGGUAGUAACACGUAGGUACGCACCCCAAAGUCGGGCAUAACUAGCCGAAAGGUUAGAUAAUUCCCGAUGGUCUCGUAAGAGUAAAGAUUUAUCGCUUUGGGAGCGGCCUGCGCAGUAUCAGCUAGUUGGUAGGGUAACAGCCUACCAAGGCUAUGACGCUUAGGGGAGGUGAGAGCCUGACCCCCACCGAUGGAACUGAGACACGGUCCAUACACCUACGGGUGGCUGCAGUCGAGAAUCUUCCGCAAUGGGCGAAAGCCUGACGGAGCGACGCCGCGUGGUUGAUGAAGUCCUUCGGGAUGUAAAAACCUUUUAUAGGCUAGAAAGUUUAUUGAUCGGCCUAUGAAUAAGGGGUUGCUAAACUCGUGCCAGCCGCCGCGGUAAUAC